rnacentral:lncRNA from 1 species
ACAAAGAAGAUGGUUUGUGGUCGUUACGUAUUAGUUGCUCUGACUCUAUUUUGCCUCCUCUCUUCGUCACAGUUAGGAGGUCCGACAUGCGUUCUUGCAAGUGGCUGGAAAAGACUAAGUCACGGUUACAUCACAAGAACUACUCGUUCUACUACACGGAGCACAACACCCCGCCCUCAAGGGAG